GGAUAAGGACGUGGUGAAUGAGGGCCGAAAGAGCUUCCCCAGUGGACAUUCUUCCUUUGCAUUUGCUGGUCUGGCCUUUGCGUCCUUCUACUUGGCAGGGAAGUUACACUGCUUCACACCACAAGGCCGUGGGAAAUCUUGGAGGUUCUGUGCCUUUCUGUCACCUCUACUUUUUGCAGCUGUGAUUGCACUGUCCCGCACAUGUGACUACAAGCAUCACUGGCAAGAUCUGCUCAAAUGCACCAACACUGCCAAGCGAAUACGGCAGAAAAGAAAAAUGACAGGUAUCGUCAUCUGAAGGACAGAUGAAUCUUUUUCUGCCCCUUUUUCACAAUGGAAUAUAAGGAACAAUUAUAGGAUGUCAUCAGAACUGAUGCCAUAGGACCUACAGCUCCCUUUCUCUUUAUUGUGAUUAUACUUUAAAUAUGACGUUGUCUUUUAUAUCUUCCUAUAUUUUCAAUGUAUCUUUUUCCUUCAGUAAACCUGAUAUUC
rnacentral:sRNA from 1 species